UCCCGGCUAGCUCAGUCGGUAGAGCGUCAGACUCUUACAAAAAGGGUUUCUAAGCACACGCUUGGGUCACAUCUGAAUGUCGUGGGUUCGAGCCCCACGUUGGGAG